GAACAGGAUUAGAUACCCUGGUAGUCCAGACCGUAAACCGGUGGGCACUAGUUGUGGGAACCUUCCACGGUUUCUGCGACGCAGCUAACGCAUUAAGUGCCCCGCCUGGGGAGUACGAUCGCAAGAUUAAAACUCAAAGGAAUUGACGGGGCCCCGCACAAGCAGCGGAGCAUGCGGCUUAAUUCGACGCAACGCGAAGAACCUUACCAAGGCUUGACAUAUAGGGAAAAGUGGCAGAGAUGUCAUGUCCGCAAGGGCUCUAUACAGGUGGUGCAUGGUUGUCGUCAGCUCGCGUCGUGAGAUGUUGGGUUAAGUCCCGCAACGAGCGCAACCCUCGUUCUGUGUUGCCAGCAUUUAGUUGGGGACUCACAGGAGACUGCCGGGGUUAACUCGGAGGAAGGUGGGGAUGACGUCAAAUCAUCAUGCCCCUUAUGUCUUGGGCUGCACGCAUGCUACAAUGGCCGGUACAGAGGGCUGCAAUACCGUAAGGUGGAGCGAAUCCCAAAAAGCCGGUCUCAGUUCGGAUUGAGGUCUGCAACUCGACCUCAUGAAGUUGGAGUUGCUAGUAAUCGUAGAUCAGCAACGCUACGGUGAAUACGUUCCCGGGGCUUGUACACACCGCCCGUCACGUCACGA
rnacentral:rRNA from 1 species